rnacentral:rRNA from 1 species
CCUACGGGUGGCAGCAGUGAGGAAUAUUGGUCAAUGGACGCAACUCUGAUCCAGCCAUGCCGCGUGCAGGAAGACGGCUCUAUGAAUUGUAAACUGCUUUUGUACGAGGGUAAACGCAGAUACGCGUAUCUGACUGAAAGUAUCGUACGAAUAAGGAUCGGCUAACUCCGUGUCAGCGGCCGCGGUAAUACGGAUGAUUCAAGCGUUAUCCGGAGUUAUGGGGUUUAACGGGUGCGUAGGCGGUCGGAUAAGUUAGAGGUGAAAUCCCGAGGCUCAACUUCGGAAUUGCCUCUGAUACUGUUCGGCUAGAGAGUAGUUGCGGUAGGCGGAAUGUAUGGUGUAGCGGUGAAAUGCUUAGAGAUCAUACAGAACACCGAUUGCGAAGGCAGCUUACCAAGCUACUUCUGACGUUGAGGCACGAAAGCGUGGGGAGCAAACAGGAUUAGAUACCCCAGUAGUC